GACGUAGGGUGCAAGCGUUGUCCGGAAUUAUUGGGCGUAAAGCGUUCGUAGGCGGUUUGCCAAGUCUGAUGUUAAAUCCUGGAGCUCAACUCCAGUUCAGCAUUGGAAACUGGCAGGCUGGAAUAUGGUAGAGGCAAGGAGAAUUCCCGGUGUAGCGGUGAAAUGCGUAGAUAUCGGGAGGAAUACCAGUGGCGAAAGCGCCUUGCUGGGCCAUUAUUGACGCUGAGGAACGAAAGCCAGGGUAGCGAAAGGG
rnacentral:rRNA from 1 species